AACUCCACCACUAUCGCAACCUAAUUUGUUGCACCAGUCCGCCCCUCUUUCAAGCUCUCAAUGUACUUCUAGAGCGCCACGAAGAAUGAUGACGUGUCGUUCGUCUUUGUCCUCAUCACGCCGUCCAGAUCUGAGAAAGAAAGAUAGGGGGAAAGAGAAGAAGAGAAGGAUGAAUAGAGUGGGAGAGAGAGAGAGAGAGAGAGAGAUCAGAAUGGGUUUUUUUUGUCACUUUUUAAAAUUUAUUUUGUUUAAAUGUAUUUUUUUUUUCUGUUUUUAUUUUUAAUUAUAUUUUAUCUAUGUGGAGGCGGGCUUCACUUGCCACAUCACCCACUCAAUUGAUGGACAUGAUCCAUGUGUACGAAAUUACAAAACACCAUGCCACGUCAUCAAAGUUAACAAACUUUUUGAUGGUGUUAAGGCUAGGAGGCCAAGUGGGUCACCAAACCUUGGUUAAGGGAUGAAAGUGGGCAAAUUUGAGUUUGGAGAGGCAAAGUGGGAUUUGACCGAAGUUUCAGGGGCAUUGUUGUAAUUAAGCCAAAAUAAAAUUUGUGAGGUUCAAUCUCACUUUACCACCCCAAAGUUAAAUUGGCCUACUUAACCCCAUUUACCGUGGUUUUGUGUUCCACUUUGUUAGGAUUUUGGCUUGUCAAAUAUGUCCUAGUUGGUUUAGGAUUGUUUUAGGAAAAUUAGAGGUAUAACAAUUCUUGUCCUAAAGGGAUUAGGAAAG
rnacentral:lncRNA from 1 species